rnacentral:lncRNA from 1 species
GUGGUGACCUGGGAAUCAAUGUGUGAGGUGGUGCUAUGUAGCAGGAACCCCUCUUGCUUUGCAAAUAGUUUUUUGUUUGUUUUCCUUUUUGCCCAAUAGAGCCCUGCUCUACUGACCCUUCAAUGUGCCCGUGUGCCUAAAUAUUCCUGGUCGUGUGAAAAGAACCCAGGUAUUAGCUGAACUAAGGAGCACAAUUCUGCAACAUUUUGGCACCCAAACACGGGGCUUGAGAAAUGAAUGCAAUUGGAGAAACUGGUUGUUUUACCAGGCGUUGAUUGGAAAUGUGUGCUUCCCUUUAAGCAGUCAAGCUCAACUUGCAGAACUGAUGGGAACCCCUUGGGAAAACUGGCCUCAAAUGUUUGUCUACACAGUCCACAUACAGGGUUCUUAACCUGCGGAAACACUUUCUGAAAAUGUCAGAACUCUUGAAAACAUGGAUGAGGAAAAGCAUAAGUACUGCUUUAUGCUUUUCUUAUGAAUUUUAAAAGAUGUAAUUUAAAGGAGCUGUCAUUUAAAUGUGCUUGCCAACUAGCUUGUUUAUCAAAACAUUCCAGACCCUUUCAAAUUCUCAUUUACAUUGUUUCUUGUUUACCACACCCAUAAAUUUGUAUUACCAGCAUAUUUAACUAUCCGGCUAUUUUGGAGAUUGAAAAAAGAAGACCUGAUUUAUCAUGUGCAAUAUCUCACACAUCUGUCAUUUCUAUUCUACCGCAAUUCGAUGGAGUCUUGUUCUGUGGUCCAGGCUAGAGGGCAGUGGCAUGAUCUCGGCUCACUACAAGCUCUGCCUCCCGGGUUCACGCCAUUCUCCUGCCUCAGCCUCCUGAGUAGCUGGGACUACAGGCGCCCGCCACCACGCCUGGCUAAUUUUUUGUAUAUUUACUAGAGAUGGCUAGUGUUAGCCAAGAUGGUCUCGAUCUCCUGACCUCGUGAUCUGCCCACCUCAGCCUGCCAAAGUGCUGGGAUUACUGGCGUGAGCCACCGUGCCUGGCCAGCAUCCUCUAAUUAUUAUUCAUAGUUUGUGAAUUUAGGCCUACGUGAAUAAUAAUAUAAUAUUUACUAUGAUGUUACUAUCUACCAACCUUAUUUUUCUUUUCUAUAAAAUAGGAGCCAAAAUAAUAUUUAUGUCAUACCUUAUGAAGUUAAAAUAAAAUAUAACGAAUGAGGGGCUUAACAA